AUUUUUUUUUUUUUUUUUUUGUGUAAAAUAAAUUAUUGAUUUGAUAAAUAUGUUUUUUAUAAAUGUAUAUAUUUUUUUUAUUUAUAUUAAUAUUUUAAUUCAGUCUUGAAAUGUAAUUUAACAAUUUUAUCUAUAUGUAGUUUACUAUUUUAUUAUUAAACCCUCAUUAACAUUAAUACUUUAUUUGAUGAAGACUAACACCUAUUUAGAUGUUAAAAUUUACUGCACUCUACAUAUUAUGUUGUUUGAAUCAAAUAUUUUUUUUUUUUUUUUUUUGU